rnacentral:rRNA from 1 species
GACGAACGCUGGCGGCGUGCUUAACACAUGCAAGUCGAACGGAAAGGCCCUGCGUUUGUGGGGUUCUCGAGUGGCGAACGGGUGAGUAACACGUGAGUAACCUGCCCUUGACUUUGGGAUAACUUCAGGAAACUGGGGCUAAUACCGGACAGGAUCCCCUGCUCCGUGGUGGGGGUUGGAAAGUUGCGGCGGUUGGGGAUGGACUCGCGGCUUAUCAGCUUGUUGGUGGGGUAGUUGCUUACCAAGGCUUUGACGGGUAGCCGGCACGGGAGGGUGGACGGCGACAAUGCUACUGAGAGACGGCGCAGACUCGUACGGGAGGCAGAAGUGGGGAAUCUUACACAAUGGGCGGAAGCCUGAUGCAGCGGCGCCGCGUGCGUGAUGACGGCCUUCGGGGUGUAAACCGCUUUCGCCUGUGACGAAGCGUGAGUGACGGUAAUGAAUGAAGAAGCACCGGCUAACUACGUG